rnacentral:ncRNA from 2 species
GAUAUCGAAACGGGAGAACCGGCCAUGCCGGUGCCGAAGGAGCAACCGCCCCGGAAACUCUCAGGCCAAAGGACCGCUUCGAUAUC